rnacentral:ncRNA from 1 species
AAAAGACUCAGUCCUAACCUUACUAUUGGUUUUUGCUAAACAUAUACAUGCAAGUAUCCGCACUCCAGUGAGAAUGCCCCUAAAACUUUUACAACAAAAGCAAAAGGAGCAGGUAUCAGGCACACUAAACAGUUGCCCAAAACGCCUUGCUACAAGCCACACCCCCACGGGUAUUCAGCAGUAAUUAACAUUAAGCAAUAAGUGUAAACUUGACUUAGCUAUAGCAAGACUAGGGUUGGUAAAUCUUGUGCCAGCCACCGCGGUCAUACAAGAAACCCGAAUCAAUAGGCACCCGGCGUAAAGAGUGGUCAUACGUUAUCUUCACACUAAGAUUAAAAUGGAACUAAGCUGUCAUAAGCCCAAGAUCCCCUUAAACCUAACUCAAACCAUCUUAGUUAAACGAUCAAUUUCAACCCACGAAAGCCAGGACACAAACUGGGAUUAGAUACCCCACUAUGCCUAGCCCUAAAUCUAGAUACCCACACACUUACUUACGUAUUCGCCCGAGAACUACGAGCACAAACGCUUAAAACUCUAAGGACUUGGCGGUGCCCCAAACCCACCUAGAGGAGCCUGUUCUAUAAUCGAUAAUCCACGAUCUACCCAACCACCCCUUGCCAAUACAGCCUACAUACCGCCGUCGCCAGCCCACCUUUAAUGAAAGAAUAACAGUGAGCUCAAUAGCCCCCGCUAACAAGACAGGUCAAGGUAUAGCCCAUGGAGUGGAAGAAAUGGGCUACAUUCUCUAAAAUAGAGCAAACGAAAAAGGACAUGAAACCGGUCCUUGGAAGGAGGAUUUAGCAGUAAAGUGGGAUCACCCUAACAGCCCACUUUAAGACGGCCCUGAGGCACGUACAUACCGCCCGUCACCCUCUUCAAAAGCUAUCAACACCAAUAAAUAAACCCCCCCACAAAGACAAAGACGAGGUAAGUCUUAACAAGGUAAGUGUGCCGGAAGGUGCACUUAKACAAC